rnacentral:rRNA from 1 species
GAUGAACGCUGACAGAAUGCUUAACACAUGCAAGUCGAUGGGGAAGUGGUGCUUGCACCAUGGCAAUCAUGGCGGACGGGUGAGUAACGCGUAAGGGACUUACCUGCAGGACUGGGAUAACAGGGGGAAACUCCUGACAAGACCGGAUAAUGUCAUGGAGCUGCAUGGCUUUAUGAUGAAAGGAGACGCCUGCGGAGAGCCUUGCGUCCUAUUAGCUAGUUGGUGAGGUAAUGGCUCACCAAGGCGAAGAUAGGUAGCCGGCCUGAGAGGAUGGACGGCCACAAGGGGAAUGAGAUACGGCCGUUACUCCUACGGGAGGAAGCAGUGGGGAAUAUUGGACAAUGGGGGCAACCCUGAUCAAGAAAUUCUGUGUGCACGAAGAAGGUUUUCGGAUUGUAAAGUGCUUUCAGCAGGGAAGAAGUAAGUGACGGUACCUGCAGAAGAAGCGACGGCUAAAUACGUG